UGGUAAUAUACCUAUAUGGCUGAGAGAUACUUGGGCUGAAUUGGUCUUCCUCAGUCUCGGGUCCAACGAGUUCUUUGGUGAUAUUCCUUCAAACUUGUGUCAUCUUGCACACUUACAAGUGUUGGACUUUUCUUUAAACAAGAUUUCAGGUGGUAUACCAAAAUGCCUAAACAAUCUCACUACUAUGACUCAAAUGGAUUCUGAGUUUGAUACGGCAUUUCAUCUUCGAUACUAUGGAGGCUUCGAGAGUGCAUUUGUAACAUGGAAAGGAAAGGAGGCCGAGUACAUAAAUACUCUUAAUUUGGUGAAACUCAUUGAUCUUUCAAGCAACAAUUUAGUAGGUGAUGUUCCUGCGAAAAUUAUCAGUCUUGUAAUGCUAGUUGGAUUGAACCUUUCAAGAAACAACCUAUCUCCUUCCUCCAAAUAUUGAACGAUUAAGGUCUUUGGAUUUUCUUGAUUUUUCAAGAAACCACUUCUCUGGUGGUAUUCCUACUGGUGUUUCUCGACUAGAUCAACUUGGAGUGUUAGAUUUGUCAUACAAUAACUUGUCGGGCAAAAUUCCACAAAGCGUUCAUUUAUGAACUUUCAAUGCUUCUGCAUUCGAGGAAAACCCUGGACUUUGUGGCCUUCCACUUACAAAUGCUUGUCCAGAAGAAGAAAUUGUUCAAGUUCCAAAGAUCGGGUAUAAUGUUGAUGGGAUGAAAAACCUAGAGGAGGACAAGCUUAUAAAUGAUGGAUUUUACAUUAGUAUGGCAGUUGGGUUCGUUUUUGGAUUUUGCGGUGUACGUGGAACUUUUGUUCUCAAUCAC
rnacentral:lncRNA from 1 species